GGAAAGGAAUAGAAAGAAACCAGCCUCUAAAUCUUCCUUUUUCAACAAAGACCAAGAUGGGUCGUCCUCUAAGGCAGCUCUUCUGUCCGGUCUCCCAGGAGUUGGUAAAACCACAUCAGCGACACUGGUUGGUGAAGAGCUUGGUUUUAUGUAAAUUAAAAUGAAUGCCGGUGACACACGGAGCAAAAAGACCUUGGAAGAACGCAUUUCUCAGUCACUGAACAAUAAAAACCAUGGAUGGCCUUCUGACAGGUUGUCAAAUUUCUGUAAGA